UUGUGAUGAUGACCAUCAUGUUAUGGUUGAUGUUGUGCUGAGACUUACAUUUGAGCUUUUUAACCCUGAACAAG
rfam:Biomphalaria glabrata isolate BB02 unplaced genomic scaffold LGTN_random_Scaffold527, whole genome shotgun sequence.